CCUACGGGAGGCAGCAGUGGGGAAUAUUGCACAAUGGGGGAAACCCUGAUGCAGCGACGCCGCGUGAGUGAAGAAGUAUUUCGGUAUGUAAAGCUCUAUCAGCAGGGAAGAAAAUGACGGUACCUGAUUAAGAAGCCCCGGCGAACUACGUGCCAGCAGCCGCGGUAAUACGUAGGGGGCAAGCGUUAUACGGAUUUACUGGGUGUAAAGGGAGCGUAGGCGGCAGCACAAGUCUGGAGGGAAAUGCCGGGGCUUAACCCCGGAACUGCAUUGGAAACUGUGCAGCUAGAGGGCAGGAGAGGUAAGUGGAAUUCCUAGUGUAGCGGUGAAAUGCGUAGAUAUUAGGAGGAACACCAGUGGCGAAGGCGGCUUACUGGACUGUAACUGACGUUGAGGCUCGAAAGCGUGGGGAGCAAACAGGAUUAGAUACCCUUGUAGUC
rnacentral:rRNA from 1 species